GUGGCUGUAGCUCAAAGGUAGAGUACUGGAUUGUGAUUCCAGGUGUUGUGGGUUCGAGUCCCAUCAGCCACC
rnacentral:tRNA from 1 species